GAUAAACUAGACUACCGGAGUUUCUUGGAGAACUGCGAGAAAAGAACGGAAUAAAAAGUUGGAAACUUUUUUGCUUCGUCUACUACCUGACUUUUAUAAACAUUUUCGUGAAACAUACAAGUAGACAAAAGAAAUAUGGUGGUGGAGUCGCACUAAAAUAAUACUUUCAAGGUGAGAAGAACAGUAACUGUGCACUUCUGCAGUGCGACAAGUAACCAGUUUCUGAAAAGAUUUAGCAUUGCAUCGUCCACGUGCACUUCAGCAGUACGACGGAUAACCAGUUUCUGAAAAGAUUUAGGUAACCAAAAUGCAUUACUGCAAUUCUUUGAUUCACUAAUUGUCUUUAUUUCAUAUUCUCCUUUGAAUCAAAUUACGCG